CAGCAGCCGCGGUAAUACGAAGGGGGCUAGCGUUGCUCGGAAUUACUGGGCGUAAAGGGCGCGUAGGCGGCGCUCCAAGUUAGGCGUGAAAUUCCCGGGCUCAACCUGGGGACUGCGCUUAAGACUGGAGUGCUUGAGGAUGGAAGAGGGUUGUGGAAUUCCCAGUGUAGAGGUGAAAUUCGUAGAUAUUGGGAAGAACACCGGUGGCGAAGGCGGCAACCUGGUCCAUUACUGACGCUGAGGCGCGAUAGCGUGGGGAGCAAACAGGAUUAGAUACCCCCGUAGUCCCUGUCUCUUAUAC
rnacentral:rRNA from 1 species